rnacentral:lncRNA from 1 species
CCCUGGAAGUCCAUUGCCCUCGCUCUUUUUCUGCUCUUUCUGGGAUGUCUGCUUCUCUUGCUAUCAUACUUCAUCUUAUCUGGUCAUAUGGGAGGAGAGCGCUCACAGGCAUAUGGUCUUCUUGGACUUGGAAUUCUCACUUUUCUCCCUGGUAAGUAAAACAUUCAUCUAUGUUGUACUGCUUUGGAUGAUAAAGCUAUAAAUCUUGUAUAAGGUUGUUCAAAAUAUCCUUGUUGAAACUUGAGAGUGCAGUAGUAUCCAGAGUCAUGUUACAGUUGCACCAUUGUUUGGCAGUAUGAAUACCACUCUGAAUUGACAAGGUAACUUCCAUUGAAUCUGUGAGCAUGUUAAAUAAGCGAGACAGCAAAUGGUAGGACUACUUGUUAAUUUAUCUACCUUAUCUCUAUAGUUGCAAGAAGCCCCGUAUGAAGGUGAUUGUGCUAUGCAAUUAAAAAUGGCCACACAUUAUAUAUAUAUAUAUAUAUAUAUAUAUAUAUUGAAG